rnacentral:rRNA from 1 species
UACGAAGGGGGCUAGCGUUGUUCGGAAUCACUGGGCGUAAAGGGCGCGUAGGCGGCCGAUCAAGUCGGGGGUGAAAGCCUGUGGCUCAACCACAGAAUUGCCUUCGAUACUGCAUGGCUUGAGACCGGAAGAGGUUAGUGGAACUGCGAGUGUAGAGGUGAAAUUCGUAGAUAUUCGCAAGAACACCAGUGGCGAAGGCGGCUGAC